GAUGAAGAACGCAGCGAAAUGCGAUAAGUAAUGUGAAUUGCAGAGUUCAGUGAAUCAUCGAAUCUUUGAACGCACAUUGCGCCCCUUGGUAUUCCAUGGGGCAUGCCUGUUCGAGCGUCAUUUGUACCCUCAAGCUCUGCUUGGUGUUGGGUGUUUGUCCCGCGUUGCGUGUGGACUCGCCUUAAAGCGAUUGGCAGCCGGCAUAUUGGCCUUGGAGCGCAGCACAUUUUGCGCUUCUCGUCAUGAUUGUUGGCGUCCAUUAAGCCUAUACAUUUGCUCUUGACCUCGGAUCAGGUAGGGAUACCCGCUGAACUUAAGCAUAUCAAUAAGCGGAGGA
rnacentral:misc_RNA from 1 species